rnacentral:snRNA from 14 species
GGUUUAUAAAACCCAGUUUGAGGUAAUUAUUGAAUUCUGAAGUAUACUCUUCAGCUUUCGAAAUUUUGGAACGAAGCUGUUCUCAGCUUCUAA